CUCUAAUAUACUAGUUCAUACUUUUUUUUUUUUUAAAAAGUUUACGAGGCUUACAUUGAGAUAAAUUAUAAUAAUUCAACCACUCUUUCACUCAGUGUCAAGUCCAGUGUCCCGCUCAUGAAAACAAAAAAUGUCUAAAUACGCCACUAUAAAGUGUCUAUUUCCGUUUGAACUUAUCUCAUAUGAUGAAUUAUGACAACACGAGUAUGAUGCAAUAAUUUUAUUUUGUGAUUAAACCCCUAUCGGCUGUACCUAACAAGAAUAGUGAUUAUGUUAUUCUUUGUUGUUGCGGGAUGCGUAAAUGUUAUUUAACAAAUUCAACUAGAUUAUAAAGUUAUUUAAAGUUAUUUAUCGGUCGUUAUCCAUUACCUAUAUUAUGUAUUAUGAUUAGUAGGGCCCGGAUGUUGUUGCAUCUGCAACUUUUCUUCUACUUAUCCAAUUUAUUGUUAAGUAAGUUUUCAAUGCGUUACAUGUUAGUACGAAUUGAAAUCUUAAAUUUUGAAGAGU